rnacentral:lncRNA from 1 species
CCCGCGCAGAGAAUGCUUCAUAUAUUCGAGCAUAAAAGAUCUUUGUGGUGCAGGGCCUUUUCAAGCACGCCAAUCACCAGCGCUGUUUGAUCCCCUGUUUGGUCAAUAUGUGCGCAAGUUGAUCCACGACCAGUUUUCCACGGUGGUACUAUGGUGCGGGCAUUAGGAUAACAAUGCCGCGCCUACGCACGAGAACGCAUCUGUGGCUACGUUGGCGGGUUUGUUCAAAUGUGACCUCACAGGAGCAGUAAUGGAGAGACGAGGAACACUCCUGUUAGACCGUUUUCUGGAUUGUUGCACAUCUGAGAUGUAUUCUGACACUUUAUUGUACUCAGCAGGUAUGGAAACAGCUCACGUGGCAGCACUUACCAUGUACAUGUAUGUUUCCUUCCUCACCUUAGUUUUACUUAUUGUUCAGGGUCGUAGAUUGGAAUGCCAGUUUUUGUGAUGGAAACGAGACAUUUGCUGGAUUGUUUUGUGAGUGAAUGAUCUUAUGUAGUCAAAUGUGCAGUAGUCUUUUUCGAGCAGUAAAAAUUUGUUUAUUCCCGUCUUUGUGCAAAACAAAUCAUGAUAUUUUUGCAAUAGGGGUUUUCACAAGAAUGUGAAACACAUAAAUAUGAAGCCAGCAUUGAUUAAGGGCAUCCUGAUGGUCAUUAGCUUGCAAAAGUUAUUAAGGCCAGAUUCAAGAACUUGAAAAUCAGGUUUGCCAUGAUUUUAUUCUGUCACAACAAUACACUGCUUAACCGAAAGUCCAAUUGAUGUUCAAAGAGCGUAGAAGUUAGUUUAUUUAUGUCGGAAUGAUACUCACUUCUAAAGACACUGUUGUAUGAAAUCGCACAAUAUGUGUUGUAAAUAACAUUUGCACUUUUGGUUUUAUCAUGUGUGUCAUUACAAACAUCCAUUGCAAA